AGCUACGUAACCAUUUAGUGCUACAACGCAAUCCUAUUAUACCUAGGCCAUCAUGUUUUGUAGCACGUGUAACUCAUUUCCCACGUGUCCAUUCCUUCACCUAUUCAUUCAUUCCAUGUUUUCUCCUCCUUUUUUUUUCCACAACAAUCCCCUAUUUAUAAGCCCUUUCAAAUCUCUAAUUGUCCCAUGCACCAACCAAUAACCAAGUUCAUGGCUUCUUCUUUCUCUUCCCAUAAAAACACGUGAUCACUCUCCCAUUCUUGCUGCCAUUAUUCCCACUGCCAUGAAGAGAAACUGCUAUCUGGAUCUUCGUUUUCGCCCUUCCUCUGCUUCGUCACCCCAUCAUUCAAUAACUUUGUAGGAAUGAGCUGUUGAACAUGAACAAAAAAGUCUUGGCCAUUCCACAUGGUGGUGGUGGUCGCCACAUGCUUGAAGUCACAGAACUUCAGGCAAGGGUGAUAAUAUGGUUGGCAAGUCAAGAAAUGGAUGGUAGCAGCAGAGGAGCAGCUUCUGCCAUGUCGCUUUCGUUGCAGUCACAGCCGUUGCUAAUGCAUGCCCCCCAAGGAUUCUCAAUUAAGACUUCCCUACGGAAUUUCCUUCACAAGAGAAAGAAAAGGUCCCAAAAGUCACAUGCCCAUUAGCACUGCCUAUUCAUUUUUUUCACAUCGAUUUUUUAUCAUUCAUUUUGGUUACACCCACACAAAAAAUAAUAGAAAUAAUAAUAAUCAUCUAUUCUUGGGUGUAUGAUGAUUAAAGUAAAAUUAAAGCUUAUGCGAACCAAAAAUAUCUUCCAUUUGAAUCCUCUGGAGACCAACAUCUCAAUACCACUUUUCCAAUGCCUAAUAAUAAAUGAAAAGGACCGUUGCAGUCUUUUUAGUGAGUGAUUGGUGAUUGGAAAGUUUGAAUGUUGAUGGCGCUACCUUAUGUUAACCAAAUGAGUGUACUCUUAUGAAAAUGAUGUUUAAUUUGAGUAAGUGUUUUAAAUCUAUUAAAUGUGUAUAGAAUUUUAAUCA